AGUAACGCGUGGGUAACCUGCCUCAUACACAUGGAUAACAUACCGAAAGGUAUGCUAAUACAAGAUGAUAUAAGAGAUUCGCAUGGAUUUCUUAUCAAAGCUCCGGCGGUAUGAGAUGGACCCGCGUCUGAUUAGCUAGUUGGUAAGGUAAUGGCUUACCAAGGCGACGAUCAGUAGCCGACCUGAGAGGGUGAUCGGCCACAUUGGAACUGAGACACGGUCCAAACUCCUACGGGAGGCAGCAUG
rnacentral:rRNA from 1 species